GACCGCUCCGGUGGCCAAGUGGUUAGAGCGUCCGCCUCAAAUGCGGAAGGUCGUGGAUUCGAUUCUCGGUCGAGUCA